rnacentral:lncRNA from 1 species
ACAGAAAAUACCGAUUCGCCAUGGAUGAUACGAUUCAAAGAGACAAGAACCUAUUCGUGCAGCCUAUUCUUGUUCCAAUCGUUUGAGGAAAGCCCGUUUUUUGGCAUCAAAGAAACUCUGUGAUCUAGGAUUAAAAACCUCAUCUCGUUCAGUCUGGGAGAUAGUGGAAUUUUUUCUUUAAACCCGUACAUACACCUUUGAUUUGAAAGGUAUUAGUAGUAAAUCCUCUCUUCAUUCUUUGCUUCGCUUCCUUUCUUUCAUCUGUGAGAGAGACUGGAUCUACUGUCUCUAAUUCAGCAUCUGCCUUUCAAUAGCCGCUCUAGACACCCUAAAGGGAAGUUGGCGCUAGCUUCCUAAAGAGGAUUUCUGUUCUAUGAGGUACAGGCCCAGCCGCACGAAGCAAGAGGAAAUAGGUAUAGGUUGGAUCAAUAAAAGAAAGAUAGAGUUACCAGUAUUAUAAGCCAGGCAUUAGCCCAGUAGGGAGGGCGUGAUCAACCAUUCUUGCUUUGGUUGCCUAUCCCAUCUUAGAAGCAAGAGAUAAAGCAAGCAAGACCUCAAGGACAAGAGAUGAAAGAAGGAUAUCGGGAGAGAGAUAGGAAAAAGAGUACGGAAGCGAAAGCGAAGCCAUCCAGUUAGUUGAACCAAUGCCAGUUGACUGUGUCAAAGAAAUAGAUCCAAUUUAGAUUUCGAGCGUCAUCGCGGAACCAUUACGGGAUAGUCCGUGAUUUGAAGGGUCCUACUUUUCUUAACCCAUUCAAGCCAUGAAAGUGAUUAUAAAACAUGGCCUCUGAGACACCUUUCCUGGGUUGAUCGAAGAUCUGCUAACAAAAGGGCGAGGACAGGAUUAACAAUAAAAUAGCCGUGGACGGAUGGAAA